rnacentral:rRNA from 1 species
CCUACGGGAGGCAGCAGUGGGGAAUAUUGCACAAUGGGGGAAACCCUGAUGCAGCGACGCCGCGUGAGUGAAGAAGUAUUUCGGUACGUAAAGCUCUAUCAGCAGGGAAGAAAAUGACGGUACCUGACUAAGAAGCCCCGGCUAACUACGUGCCAGCAGCCGCGGUAAUACGUAGGGGGCAAGCGUUAUCCGGAUUUACUGGGUGUAAAGGGAGCGUAGACGGCAGCGCAAGUCUGGAGUGAAAUCCCAUGGCUUAACCAUGGAACUGCUUUGGAAACUGUGCAGCUAGAGUGCAGGAGAGGUAAGCGGAAUUCGGAGUGUAGCGGUGAAAUGCGUAGAUAUUAGGAGGAACACCAGUGGCGAAGGCGGCUUACUGGACUGUAACUGACGUUGAGGCUCGAAAGCGUGGGGAGCAAACAGGAUUAGAUACCCGGGUAGUC